AUUGAACGCUGGCGGCAGGCCUAACACAUGCAAGUCGAACGAGUGGCGGACGGGUGAGUAAUGUCUGGGAAACUGCCCGAUGGAGGGGGAUAACUACUGGAAACGGUAGCUAAUACCGCAUACCAUCGGAUGUGCCCAGAUGGGAUUAGCUAGUAGGUGGGGUAACGGCUCACCUAGGCGACGAUCCCUAGCUGGUCUGAGAGGAUGACCGGCCACACUGCACCUAAGACACGGUCCAGACUCCUACGUGAGGCAGCCGUGGGGAAGAUUGCACUGUGGGCGCAAGCGUGAUGCGGCCAUGCCGCGUUUAUGAAGAAGGCCUUCGGGUGGUAAAGUACUUUCAGCGAGGAGGCGUUACUCGCAGAAGAAGCGCCGGCUUACUCCGUGCCAGCAGCCGCGGUAAUAC
rnacentral:rRNA from 1 species